ACGGGUGAGUAACACGUGGGUAACCUGCCUGUAAGACUGGGAUAACUCCGGGAAACCGGAGCUAAUACCGGAUAGUUCCUUGAACCGCAUGGUUCAAGGAUGAAAGACGGUUUCGGCUGUCACUUACAGAUGGACCCGCGGCGCAUUAGCUAGUUGGUGAGGUAACGGCUCACCAAGGCGACGAUGCGUAGCCGACCUGAGAGGGUGAUCGGCCACACUGGGACUGAGACACGGCCCAGACUCCUACGGGAGGCAGCAGUAGGGAAUCUUCCGCAAUGGACGAAAGUCUGACGGAGCAACGCCGCGUGAGUGAUGAAGGUUUUCGGAUCGUAAAGCUCUGUUGUUAGGGAAGAACAAGUGCAAGAGUAACUGCUUGCACCUUGACGGUACCUAACCCAAGCGUUGUCCGGAAUUAUUGGGC
rnacentral:rRNA from 1 species